GCGGCGUCGAGUGUCUGUGUAGCAGCGGCUGCAGCCUAGGCGUGAGUCCCCACCCUGCUUUGUCUUCAAUCAUCAUUUCUACAGGAAGCAGCGCAUCUCCCACUUCCUCCUCUCUUAGUGUCGGCUAGCAAGCCAGCUUUCUUGUUUGCCUCGCACUCCACUAAAGGGCUUCCUCCAAGGCGCUUUGCCUGCCGCUGAUAGUAAUUUGGCUCUAAUCCCCUGGACCCCUUUGUUCCAGCGGCCCUCCACCCCCACAUCCCCGCCGCACUGUUUUCUUUCCCUGUCUCAUUCCCCAGCCCUCAUCUCCCAGGAGCACCCACAGACUGCCUCAGUGGGUCUCCUUCUCAACACCUACGCUGCAUUCUCUUUCUGAACUACAGCUGCUGUUUAUUGGGUCGGUGGCCCCCACCAGGCUCUAGUCCUGAGAUCGGGGCCAGCCUCCACAGACAGCUCCUUCUUGCUGCGAAUUUUUUCCUUUGUGGCCAGCCUUCCCGGAGCUUCAUUUCCCCAAGGUCUCCCUACCACUGAGAUUUUAUUUAACCCAUAUGCUGAGAAAAUAAUGGCCCCACAGGACUUCUUCUGGGACAUGGGAGCUAAGCCAAGUCCUGCAACGCUGAGAAGCUGAGGAACCACCUCUGAAGUAACAAAUGGGAGUGCUCUGUCGGAAGACGGGAUAAAGGUCCAGUGUCACACAGGUUAUCACGCAGUCAGGAAGCCUGGUGCCAAAGGUUACCGGAGACGUCUACUGUACAACACUGCUCUUCAAGAUGGGUCUUCUAUCCUGACCAUUCCAUUCUGCCCCUUUCUAGUCACACAUGCAUUGAACUUACCUGUGUGACUUACAAGUGUAAGCCACAAAACGUACUACAGCUCCCACCGUGGCCUCUCAGAUCAACCAUUCAGAGGGUCUGGGUGCCAUGUUCUGAGGACACUCAGGCAGCCCUGUGGAGAGAGAAAGGAUCUUAGAUCGCCUGUCAAGACCCAGCAGCGCCCUGAAAAUCUGUGUGAUGGACUCUGGAUACUCUUCCUCUCAAAGUCACACCAGGAAAUCCAGGAGGAAAGUCUGUGCCCAUUUUCCUCACUGAAGAAUGAGGUCUAUAAAAGAGACAUCACCCUGCUUAGCCUUAUCCACUUUGAAUUUGAAAGCUGAUUACUCCUGAACCGGUGAUCCUCAACCUUCCUAAUGCUGCGACCCUUUAAUACAGCUCCUCACGUUGUGGUGACCCCCAACCAUAACAGUUUUUGGUGCUACUCAUAACUGUGAUUUCGCUACUGUUAUGAACUGUAAUGUAAAUGUCUGAAAUGCAGGAUAUCUGAUAUGUGACUCCUGUGAAAGGGUGGUUUGACACCCCUGCCCUGUCCCGUCGCCCCCCUCCACACACACACACUGGUUGAGAACCACUGCCCUUAAUAAAUGUGAUUGGAAAGAAGACUCAAUGGAUAUGUCUGUUUUUCUCAGGACAGUACCCCAAGCUCUGUUUCCGCAGCAGUCAUAAAAGUAGAGCGGUACCCCAGGCAACCAAGGUGAGCUCUCCGCAGGCAACAAGGCUUCCUGCCUCAGUGGGCUAGGUGAUCACAGGCUUUCUUCAGCUGACUUGACUUGUCAGAGCCCUGUGUCCUGUCUGUGCAGAGGACAGAAGGAGAAGCCUCUGUGGCAUCUGCACCUUCCCGCUUGAUGAUGCCAGCCCGCGCGCCCCCACCCCCACACGCCUAUCCUGAGGCCAGAGUUUGGUGGUCUGUCUUCCUUUCUUCCUUCCU